rnacentral:sRNA from 1 species
ACAUACUUUAACAAAAUCAUGUGUGCGUCUACAUUUUAAUCUCCCACAUUACCUGCAUAAAUAUUUAAAAAAACAGAUGUGAGAAAAACAUGAAAAAAAUAGAGAAAAACAGAGAGUGUGAGAGGAUACCUCGAUAUAUUGCUUUCUCCAUGGUCUCGUCGAUCCACAACCUCAGUUUUCUUCAUGGUCUCGUUUUCUUCUGCUAGAAUAAAAAAGAAGCGAGAGAGUAAAAGAAGAUAGGAACUGCUGAGUAAGUUCUUGAAAUGAGACGUACAAUAUUUAUAAGAUAUAAAUUUUUAGGUUUAAAA